AUUAUGUGAAAUUUUAAUAUGGAUUCUGUGCUCCUAGGUGAAGAAUGGAGUAUCCACAAAUGACAAUACCAAAUAUACUCCCUCCUGUUCUUAUGAGCCUAUUGAGGUUGAGGUUUUACUGGAACUCAAGCCAUUCUUCUCCCUUCUCAUCAUCCUGUAUCUAUUGUUUGGCUUGAAGAAAGUAUCAUUGUAAAACAUCCAAAAGCCUGAAGUCUCACCCUUGGAACACAGGAAGCAAAACUCUCAAAUAUCAUCCUGGGUGACGAUGUAGAUUAGACCCAUCAGAUGAAAUGAAGAAUUGAAAAACUCUCCUGGGGAUGAAAAUGAAAAUUUUCAUCAAAGGAGCAAGAAAUUCUUCAUAACUUCAACACAACAUGGCCUUUGGGAACAGAAUAAAACACAAAUAAGGAAAGGCGGAAAAUGAUUGACACAUGCACUGUUCUUGGUUUGAAAUUUAACAAUCAUGCUAGUUAUA